GAAUAAGCACCGGCUAACUCCGUGCCAGCAGCCGCGGUAAUACGGAGGGUGCAAGCGUUACUCGGAAUCACUGGGCGUAAAGGGCGCGUAGGCGGCUUGGUAAGUUGGAUGUGAAAGCCCACGGCUCAACCGUGGAACUGCGUCCAAAACUGCCAGGCUAGAGUCCGGNAAAGGCAGAUGGAAUUGGUGGUGUAGGGGUAAAAUCCGUAGAGAUCNCCAGGAAUACCCAUUNCNAAGGCAAUCUGCUGGAACGGUACUGACGCUG
rnacentral:rRNA from 1 species